AGGGAAAUGACCCCCACUCGCGCCUGGGAGGCGGUGAGUGGCACAGGCAGGUCGCACCCUCUACGGGCCCCCUCGGUUACGCUGGCCGUGGGCAUCCUGGAGCCUCGGAGCAUCAGCCUGCGCACGAAGGUGGCCCGGCUACUUUUUCAUUCAUAAAAUCUCGACCGGGCGGUUGCCCGGAUGAUUUAUGAGGCCGCGCGCUGUCACAGGCGGCGCCCGUCCCUAGGGGCGAAGGGUCCGAGUCCCGCGUGCGCCAGGCCCAGGCCAAGACUCGCAGAAGCCUACCUGGAUCCAUGGAGGUCAUGAGAACCCACCCUGCCUGCCCAGGCCCAUGCUGUCAUGGUGAAAUGAUCCAAAGGGCCCUAAUCUCUCUCUUCAGCACUGGGGAUUGAUCCUUGCUAGGUUGGUGACCACAUGCACAGGAGUCUCCUAAGGGAAAAAGCCAGGUGCGUGGCUAUCACCAAGAAGACCUGAUGGAAAGAAGCAGAAUUCUUUUGUGCCUGGAGCAUGGAAAUCCAGCUAGACCCUUCCUCUUUCCAUUUCCUUCUGGGAUGAGUCAUUUAAAUGGGGCUGGACUUGGAGGCCUGAAGGCGAC
ensembl:lncRNA